AUUGAACGCUGGCGGCAUGCCUUACACAUGCAAGUCGAACGGCAGCACGGGGCAACCUGGUGGCGAGUGGCGAACGGGUGAGUAAUGCAUCGGAACGUGCCAUUGAGUGGGGGAUAACGUAGCGAAAGUUGCGCUAAUACCGCAUAUUCUGUGAGCAGGAAAGCAGGGGACCGGCAAGGCCUUGCGCUCUUUGAGCGGCCGAUGUCAGAUUAGCUAGUUGGUGAGGUAACGGCUUACCAAGGCGACGAUCUGUAGCGGGUCUGAGAGGAUGAUCCGCCACACUGGAACUGAGACACGGUCCAGACUCCUACGGGAGGCAGCAGUGGGGAAUUUUGGACAAUGGGCGCAAGCCUGAUCCAGCCAUGCCGCGUGAGUGAAGAAGGCCUUCGGUUGUAAAGCUCUUUCGGUCCGGGAACGAAAGUCGCAUGGGUUAAUACCCUUCGUGUGGAGUGACGGUACCGGAAGUAAGAAGCACCGGCUAACUACGU
rnacentral:rRNA from 1 species